rnacentral:rRNA from 1 species
AUUGAACGCUGGCGGCAUGCCUUACACGUGCAAGUCGAACGGCAGCACGGGGGCAACCCUGGUGGCGAGUGGCGAACGGGUGAGUAACAUAUCGGAACAUACCCUAGAGUGGGGGAUAACGUAGCGAAAGUUACGCUAAUACCGCAUACGAUCUAAGGAUGAAAGUGGGGGAUCUUCGGACCUCAUGCUCAUGGAGUGGCCGAUAUCUGAUUAGCUAGUUGGUGAGGUAAAGGCUCACCAAGGCGACGAUCAGUAGCUGGUUUGAGAGAACGACCAGCCACACUGGAACUGAGACACGGUCCAGACUCCUACGGGAGGCAGCAGUGGGGAAUUUUGGACAAUGGGGGCAACCCUGAUCCAGCAAUGCCGCGUGAGUGAAGAAGGCCUCGGUGUAAGCUCUUUGUCUAGGGAA